CAGCCGCCGCGGUAAUACAGAGGGUGCGAGCGUUAAUCGGAUUUACUGGGCGUAAAGCGUGCGUAGGCGGCUUUUUAAGUCGGAUGUGAAAUCCCUGAGCUUAACUUAGGAAUUGCAUUCGAUACUGGGAAGCUAGAGUAUGGGAGAGGAUGGUAGAAUUCCAGGUGUAGCGGUAAAAUGCGUAGAGAUCUGGAGGAAUACCGAUGGCGAAGGCAGCCAUCUGGCCUAAUACUGACGCUGAGGUACGAAAGCAUGGGGAGCAAACAGGAUUAGAUACCCGAGUAGUCCCUGUCUCUUAUAC
rnacentral:rRNA from 1 species